UUAGAAAAGCAUUAGUUCAUAUUUUAUAUAUUUUGGAAUCAUUAAGUGCUUAUUUAAUACCUUUGAUUAAAGGCACUAAAUAAAUACCUAAAAUGUUUCUAUAAAUAAUAAGUUUUAACAAUUUUAAUGCAUAAAGGAGAUAAAAACAAACCUAUUAAAAUGUAUUUCAUUAUUUUUGGGUGUUCCUCUGAAUUUCGAUGAAUUAAAAGGUGUAAAAGGUAAUUAAAUUGAUUUUUAAAAUUAGAAAUUCAAACCUUAUCCGAAAAACCCCCUGGAUACUUUUUUUCUCCUACCGGCCCCCUCCCCCUUACCCUAUCCUCACUGGUACGUGGGCCAGCCGGCCAGACCUCCCC
rnacentral:lncRNA from 1 species